CAUAUUUUACAAUAUUAUUCGGUUAGAGAACAAAUGGCGUUUGUUCUGUUAUAGUAAUGAUAUAAGUGUAGAUAUUAUUUAGUAAUAGUACAGUGAUGAGAACGCGUAAUUAUUUGAUAAAUGUAACUUAAAACAGCUCAAAAAUUGUGCGGUAUCACAUUUUUCAAUUUUCAAUCAGUGAAAACAUCGAACUCACUUCUGCAUUCUUGAUUGUUGAAUAAUACUUUCAGGAAAUGUACCUGGUGAGUUUACAAUUACUUAGUCGGUUCCAUUUUUAUCUUUAGACAUUUAUAAAUCCUAACCUAUCUUAUUGUAAAGUCUUAAACAAUCUAAUCAAAUCAUAGCUAAUAGCCCUGGCAGAUCAGGCAUUUCUAAUUUCGAAAAAGAAGAUGUUUUAUUUUAGAAAGGUUAUUUCGGAUUUCCUUGAUGCCGUAUCCUACGAAACGACGCUUAAUCGUCAGGACUACCCUUAAGCUUUUAACCUAACCUCAAUUCAUGACAUGGUCGAAAUAGAUUUUGUAUAGUACAAAAAAUAUCAACGGAAAUAGUUACAGGGAGCUUGGAAAAAACACAAAAUGUUAUGUAAUUGUAACAAAAAUUGAAAUAAACCAAUUCAUCCGAAACUCGAUGCUUGUCCGUGGAUGAAAUAUACGACAGAACGUUUCUCGGUACAUCCUAUCUUAGUUACAUGAGUUUAAUAAAAAAAGUUCCCUAGAAAUUCUACAUUCAAAAUUAGUAUUUAAAUUCGGUCACACCUUUUGUGUUUUUCGACCUUUGCGGUAAAACGCUACAAAAAAAGCUAUCGUCAAGUAUAAUAAUAAUAAUUUUUGUAAUUGGUAUGAGGUAAAACAAUAUUAACAAUAAUGUAUCAACCUUGGUUUUUCUCUUAAUGUUUUUGCAUCCGAUAAAGUGCAUACGAUAUAAAAAUUAAAACACGUCAUCAAUUCAUUUCUAAACUAAAUACCAACAAUUAACAUGGAAUUCUAUAAUCAAUUCAAUUUUCAUAUUAAUACCAGAGUUCAUAUUAAGGAUAGAGAUAGCGACAUAUAAGUCGAAUAGGUUCACCACUCUCUAUCUCUUUCUACUUGCUUCUGAUUUCUUUGCCGUUUCUAUCACUGGAAACUUCGAGUCAUGGCGAUCCAAUCAUAAUAGAGUGUGGUAUGCUUUCUCUAUUAGCAAUAAGCUUCAAAAACUCAUUCUCCUCAUCUUUAAUAUUAACUCUAUGAUUAAUAACAUUUGUUCCAGCUGAAGAUAUAUUAAUGACAGCUGACAGUUAGAUUCAUAAGUUUGCAAUUUUGUAAAACGUUGUCAAAUUGGUGCUGUUCAUUAAUUCGAGUCUUCUCUUUCAAAAUUUUACUUCUGGUAAUUAUUAUUACAUAUAACAAAAAAAGUCAAAAUGAAUAUUUGGGUUUUUACUUGAAAAUUAUAAUUCUCAAAUUAUCGCACGUCGUUGUGGAAUUCUUCAAAAGGUCUCUAACAUGCCAUAAUUAUAAUUGAAUAACCUACCAUUAUAAAAAAUAAAUUAACAACACACGUUUUGAAUACCAUCAAAAAUGAAUUAUGUGCUGACACAUACAAUUGCGAAAGCGAUUUGACAUUAAGAAUAGUGUAUAGCUAAAUAUCGAUUUGCAGGAUUGACAAAAAUAUUUUAUUCUUUUCGGUAAUUGUAUUGCGCGAAAUUACUAGAAAUAACGGUCUCGUACAUGGAGUUUUCUCAACUAACUUUGAACAAACUAUAACUAAAACUAAUGACAAUUAUUUUCAUUUUAAUACAACAUAACCUCAUUGUUUUAUAUUUUCUUUGUUUCCAUACGGUUGUUAAUAUCUCGUAGUCUAUGACUUGCAUCAAUUGUAUACUGUAUGACCCUGUAUAUGUAUUGUAUAGUCCACAAAUAUAUUUCAGUAUAGACGAUGCAGCAUAAAUGUAAACAUUUUGAAAUUAUUGGUAUUAAAUCUUUACCAUAUUCUUAAAAAUUAUGAAUUUAACUACAUCAAACGGUGAAAAGUUAUAAAAAUUAACAUUCUUUAUAAAACAUUCUAAAAUUACAGUUUUCCUAAUUUAAUUAUUGUCAAUUUGCCUUUUGAACAAAGGUGCAGUUCAAGAAUGACUCAAAAAUAAUUCAAUUAAACUUUGAAGAGUAAAAGCUUAAUUGAAUGCCCUAUAACCUGUAAAUUUCAAUGAUACUUAUUUUUUUAAAUAUCAUAUUGUAAUUUUGCUAUUUAAAUUUGAAUAAAAUCUCACGAAAGUAUUCAAUAAAAUUAAAUAUAAGAUUGAAUUACUACCAUAAAUCAAAAGUGGCACGGUAAAAGCACCGUUACCAAAUUAAUUUAUUUACAAAAACAAUUCUUUCUGAAGUAUUAAGAAACCAUCUAGUAAAAGUAGCACACUUACCUGAGCGAUAGAAAAAAAAUACUGUAACUAAACACCGGUAUAUAGUAUUCACUUAUCCGUUUAGUCACUAAAAGUAAUUUUGAAUUCUUAAAUUAACACACCCACGGUGAGAUGGUAUGUAUGAUGGUAGAAUUUCUACGUGCACUGGUUUGUGAUGUAGACAGAACUUCAGUGAUGAUGGCUAAGUUACUGGUUUGGACGCCAAGAGCAUUUUCUAUCCCACAACUGGAUUUUACCUACGUUGCGCAGAUAUCUCUUGUUUUUCAUUCUAAUGAGUAUACGUGAGGUACUUCUCAAUUUGUUGGUAUCAAUAAUAUUAUUGUCGUUGCUUAUAUACCAUUUAAUAAAUAAAACAAACGUAUUUUUUACGUAAUGUUAUUUUAUACAGUAUGUUAUGAAACACAUUCUUAAUAAUUGAAGAAAGAUAAUUCCAUAUAUAUUAUUUGACAGGAUAAUCAAGGGAUUGUCUCCAUAAUAAUGAUAUAAAUAGAUACCACUCACGACUAAUACGGCGCCAUAUUUUAACAAACACAUAAGUACUUUACUUAAUUUCGACAAAUAAUUAACACUGGGUACUAAUUAUAAUACUCGUAAAAUAUUAUUUAUAUAAUUUGUUAGGAUGAAAGUAAAAUAUUGUCAUGUUUUAUGAAGAAAGUUAUUUAUAACUAUAUCAUAACGUAUUUAUGAUUCGCGCGCAAUAUGGCGGCGUUUAGAAUUUCAAUUGCAUUGAUGCCAAAUUAGUGAGUGAGAAUAAGAUUAAUAUUGACGUUUCGACUUUUUUCGGUAUCUAUCAAAAUAUUUUCAACAAAGAGACCUCAAAUCAAGAUGACUUAUCAACAAUAAUAUAUAAAAAGGUCUAAAAAAUAAGAAGUUGAAAGAAGUAACUGAAAACAUGUCGAUUUUCAAACUAAAUCUGAUUAUUUAAAAGUAUUUAAUAACUUGGCAACGUUGUGAACUGUUCUACCAACACGAUAAAUUUUUGUUACCAGGUAUCAUUAACGUUAAUUAGUUGGAAUAAUCGAAUAAAGAAUGAUGUUUUAUAAAAUGUAAUAAUAAAAUAUUGAGGAUUAUUUUGUGUUUAUUAAAUAAAAUUGUUGUUUAUUGAAAGAGAAGUAAAAUCAAAAUCAUUUAUUCACUGGAAUAUAUCGGUACAUUGCGUGUAGAACUGCUACAUUAUAUUUGUUUUUAUUUUUCAAUUGUUUAUGUAUAUUUUUUAAAAUAAUAAAACAUAACAUUAUU